UAACGCGUGAGGAACCUGCCUCAAAGAGGGGGACAACAGUUGGAAACGACUGCUAAUACCGCAUAAGCCCGCAGCUCGGCAUCGAGCAGAGGGAAAAGGAGUGAUCCGCUUUGAGAUGGCCUCGCGUCCGAUUAGCUAGUUGGUGAGGUAAUGGCCCACCAAGGCGACGAUCGGUAGCCGGACUGAGAGGUUGAACGGCCACAUUGGGACUGAGACACGGCCCAG
rnacentral:rRNA from 1 species